GCGAGCAGGUGCGAAAGCAGGUCAUAGUGAUCCGGUGGUUCUGAAUGGAAGGGCCAUCGCUCAACGGAUAAAAGGUACUCCGGGGAUAACAGGCUGAUACCGCCCAAGAGUUCAUAUCGACGGCGGUGUUUGGCACCUCGAUGUCGGCUCAUCACAUCCUGGGGCUGAAGUAGGUCCCAAGGGUAUGGCUGUUCGCCAUUUAAAGUGGUACGCGAGCUGGGUUUAGAACGUCGUGAGACAGUUCGGUCCCUAUCUGCCGUGGGCGCUGGAGAACUGAGGGGGGCUGCUCCUAGUACGAGAGGACCGGAGUGGACGCAUCACUGGUGUUCGGGUUGUCAUGCCAAUGGCACUGCCCGGUAGCUAAAUGCGGAAGAGAUAAGUGCUGAAAGCAUCUAAGCACGAAACUUGCCCCGAGAUGAGUUCUCCCUGAGACUUAAAGUCUCCUGAAGGAACGUUGAAGACGACGACGUUGAUAGGCCGGGUGUGUAAGCGCAGCGAUGCGUUGAGCUAACCGGUACUAAUGAACCGUGAGGCUUAACCUUACAACGCCGAAG
rnacentral:rRNA from 1 species